rnacentral:rRNA from 1 species
AGCAGCCGCGGUAAUUCCAGCUCCAAUAGCGUAUAUUAAAGUUGUUGCAGUUAAAAAGCUCGUAGUUGAAUUUCGGGAUCAAUAUAUCGGUCGUGCCUUGGUACGUACUGGUAUCAUUGGUUUCUCCUUUCUGACGAACCAUGAUGUCAUUAAUUUGGUGUUAUGGGAAGUUAGGACUGUUACUUUGAAAAAAAUUAGAGUGUUUAAAGCAGGCUUUAGCUUGAAUACAUUAGCAUGGAAUAAUGAAAUAGGACGUUCGAACCUAUUUUGUUGGUUUCUAGGAUCAACGUAAUGAUUAAUAGGGAUAGUUGGGGGGCAUUAGUAUUCAAUUGUCAGAGGUGAAAUUCUUGGAUUUAUUGAAGACUAACUACUGCGAAAGCAUUUGCCAAGGAUGUUUUCAUUAAUCAAGAACGAAAGUUAGGGGAUCGAAGACGAUCAGAUACCGUCGUAGUCUUAACCAUAAACUAUGCCGACUAGGGAUCGGAUGAUGUUAAUUUUUUAAUGACUCAUUCGGCGCCUU